UAGGGAAUAUUGGUCAAUGGGCGCAAGCCUGAACCAGCCAUGCCGCGUGCAGGAUGACUGCCCUAUGGGUUGUAAACUGCUUUUGUACAGGAAGAAUAAGCUCUACGUGUAGAGUGAUGACGGUACUGUAAGAAUAAGGAUCGGCUAACUCCGUGCCAGCAGCCGCGGUAAUACGGAGGAUCCAAGCGUUGUCCGGAUUUAUUGGGUUUAAAGGGUGCGUAGGCGGUUUGAUAAGUCAGUGGUGAAAGUUUGCGGCUUAACCGUAAAAUUGCCAUUGAAACUGUCAGACUUGAGUGUAGUUGAGGUAGCUGGAAUGUGUCAUGUAGCGGUGAAAUGCUUAGAUAUGAUACAGAACACCAAUUGCGAAGGCAGGUUACUAAACUACAACUGACGCUGAGGC
rnacentral:rRNA from 1 species